rnacentral:lncRNA from 1 species
AAUCACAUAACCUGCCAAAAGGGGCGAACAUGCCCAAAAAGAGGACAUGUCUGCUCAAAGAAUUAGAAGACCAGCCUGGCAUGUCAGGCUGCCUGCCAAUUAUGCAGCUGGCCAACUAAGGGCAUACUAUGCAGACAGCACCCUGAGCUUGGCAUAAAUGCAUCUAAUGAUGCGCUCACUCAACGCUUUCUAAGGACUGUCCCCUAGCACUCACUGGUCCACUUGUCUCCUU